UGGAAAAGGAUGUGGGAUUUCUAAGACAACUAGGAUGUUGGCUUAGAAGCAGCCACUCAUUAAAAGAGUGCGUAAUAGCUCACUAGUCGAGAGAUCCUGCGCCGAAGAUGUCCGGGGCUCAAACUUACCACCGAAGCUACGGGUUCACACUUAUGUGUGAGCGGUAGAGGAGCGUCGUAAUCGGGCUGAAGUCGUACCGUAAGGAGCGGUGGACUGAUUACGAGUGAGAAUGUUGGCAUUAGUAGCGAGAUGUGGGUGAGAAUCCCACAGGCCGAAUAUCUAAGGUUUCCUCAGGAAGGUUCGUCCGCUGAGGGUUAGUCGGGACCUAAGCCGAGGCCGAAAGGCGUAGGCGAUGGACAAUCGGUUGAUAUUCCGAUACCACUACUGAUCGUUAUUAUCGAUGGUGUGACGGAGAAGGAUAGAGUGUGCUAGCUAUUGGAUGCUAGUCUAAGCGUUUAGGGAGUUAGGAAAGGCAAAUCCGUCCUAACAAUUCUGAGGCGUGAUGGGGAAGGUUCUACGGAACCGAAGUACUUGAUUCCAUGCUUCCAAGAAAAGCAUCUAGAGAGAGAUGUAGUGCCCGUACCGCAAACCGACACAGGUAGAUGAGGAGAGAAUCCUAAGGCCGGCGGAAGAAUCACAGUUAAGGAACUAGGCAAAUUGACCCCGUAACUUAGGGAGAAGGGGUGCCUGCGAGAGCAGGCCGCAGAGAAUAGGCCCAAGCAACUGUUUAGCAAAAACACAGGUCUCUGCUAAAGCGAAAGCUGAUGUAUAGGGGCUGACGCCUGCCCGGUGCUGGAAGGUUAAGGGGAACACUUAGCGCAAGCGAAGGUGUGAACUUAAGCCCCAGUAAACGGCGGCCGUAACUAUAACGGUCCUAAGGUAGCGAAAUUCCUUGUCAGGUAAGUUCUGACCCGCACGAAUGGCGUAAUGACUUGGGCACUGUCUCAACUGUGAAUCCGGCGAAGUUGUAGUGCGAGUGAAGAUGCUCGCUACCCGCGAUUGGACGGAAAGACCCCGUAGAGCUUUACUGUAGCUUAGCAUUGAAUUUCGGUAUUGUCUGUACAGGAUAGGUGGGAGACUGGGAAAUCAGGGCGUCAGCCUUGAUGGAGUCGUCCUUGGGAUACCACCCUGACAGUACUGAGGUUCUAACUGGAUGCCAUGAAUCUGGUGACAGGACAUUGUUAGGUGGGCAGUUUGACUGGGGCGGUCGCCUCCUAAAAAGUAACGGAGGCGCCCAAAGGUUCCCUCAGAACGGUCGGAAAUCGUUCGAAGAGUGCAAAGGCAGAAGGGAGCCUGACUGCGACACCCACAAGUGGAGCAGGGACGAAAGUCGGGCUUAGUGAUCCGGUGGUACCUCGUGGGAGGGCCAUCGCUCAACGGAUAAAAGCUACCUCGGGGAUAACAGGCUGAUCUCCCCCAAGAGUCCACAUCGACGGGGAGGUUUGGCACCUCGAUGUCGGCUCGUCGCAUCCUGGGGCUGUAGUCGGUCCCAAGGGUUGGGCUGUUCGCCCAUUAAAGCGGCACGCGAGCUGGGUUCAGAACGUCGUGAGACAGUUCGGUCCCUAUCCGUCGCGGGCGUAGGAAAUUUGAGAGGAGCUGUCCUUAGUACGAGAGGACCGGGAUGGACUGACCUCUGGUGCACCAGUUGUUCCGCCAGGAGCACAGCUGGGUAGCUAAGUCGGGAAGGGAUAAACGCUGAAAGCAUCUAAGCGUGAAGCCCACCUCAAGAUGAGAUUUCCCAUAGCAUAAGCUAGUAAGACCCCUUGAAGAACACGAGGUUGAUAGGUCAGAGGUGUAAGUGCAGUAAUGUAUGUAGCUGACUGAUACUAAUAGGUCGAGGGCUUGACCAA
rnacentral:rRNA from 1 species